rnacentral:rRNA from 1 species
AGCGAACGCUGGCGGCAGGCUUAACACAUGCAAGUCGAACGGGCACUUCGGUGCUAGUGGCAGACGGGUGAGUAACGCGUGGGAACGUGCCUUUCGGUUCGGAAUAAUCCAGGGACACUUGGACUAAUACCGUAUACGCCCUUCGGGGGAAAGAUUUAUUGCCGAAAGAUCGGCCCGCGUCUGAUUAGCUAGUUGGUGAGGUAAAGGCUAACCAAGGCGACGAUCAGUAGCUGGUCUGAGAGGAUGAACAGCCAAAUUGGGACUGAGACACGGCCCAAACUCCUACGGGAGGCAGCAGUGGGGAAUAUUGGACAAUGGGCGCAAGCCUGAUCCAGCCAUGCCGCGUGAGUGAUGAAGGCCUUAGGGUUGUAAAGCUCUUUUGUCCGGGAAGAUAAUGACUGUACCGGAAGAAUAAGCCCCGGCUAACUUCGUGCCAGCCGCCGCAGUAA